rnacentral:tRNA from 1 species
GCCAUGAUCGUAUAGUGGUUAGUACUCUGCGUUGUGGCUGCAGGAACCUCGGUUCAAAUCCGAGUCAUGGCA